AGAGUUUGAUCCUGGCUCAGGAUGAACGCUGGCGGCGUGCUUAACACAUGCAAGUCGAACGAAGCACUUCAAUCGAUUUCUUCGGAAUGAAGUUUUAGUGACUGAGUGGCGGACGGGUGAGUAACGCGUGGGUAACCUGCCUCACACAGGGGGAUAACAGUUGGAAACGGCUGCUAAUACCGCAUAAGCGCACAGUACCGCAUGGUACAGUGUGAAAAACUCCGGUGGUGUGAGAUGGACCCGCGUCUGAUUAGCUAGUUGGCAGGGCAACGGCCUACCAAGGCGACGAUCAGUAGCCGACCUAAGAGGGUGACCGGCCACAUUGGGACUGAGACACGGCCCAAACUCCUACGGGAGGCAGCAGUGGGGAAUAUUGCACAAUGGGGGAAACCCUGAUGCAGCGACGCCGCGUGAGCGAAGAAGUAUUUCGGUAUGUAAAGUUCUAUCAGCAGGGAAGAAAAUGACGGUACCUGACUAAGAAGCCCCGGCUAACUACGUGCCAGCAGCCGCGGUAAUACGUAGGGGGCAAGCGUUAUCCGGAUUUACUGGGUGUAAAGGGAGCGUAGACGGCAAGGCAAGUCUGAUGUGAAAACCCAGGGCUUAACCCUGGGACUGCAUUGGAAACUGUCUGGCUCGAGUGCCGGAGAGGUAAGCGGAAUUCCUAGUGUAGCGGUGAAAUGCGUAGAUAUUAGGAAGAACACCAGUGGCGAAGGCGGCUUACUGGACGGUAACUGACGUUGAGGCUCGAAAGCGUGGGGAGCAAACAGGAUUAGAUACCCUGGUAGUCCACGCCGUAAACGAUGAUUACUAGGUGUGGGGGGACUGACCCCUUCCGUGCCGCAGCAAACGCAAUAAGUAAUCCACCUGGGGAGUACGACCGCAAGGUUGAAACUCAAAGGAAUUGACGGGGGCCCGCACAAGCAGUGGAGUAUGUGGAUUAAUUCGAAGCAACGCGAAGAACCUUACCAGGUCUUGACAUCGUAUGCAUAGCUCAGAGAUGAGUGAAAUCUCUUCGGAGACAUAUAGACAGGUGGUGCAUGGUUGUCGUCAGCUCGUGUCGUGGGAUGUUGGGUUAAGUCCCGCAACGAGCGCAACCCUUACUGUUAGUUGCUACGCAAGAGCACUCUAGCAGGACUGCCGUUGACAAAACGGAGGAAGGUGGGGAUGACGUCAAAUCAUCAUGCCCCUUAUGACCUGGGCCUCACACGUACUACAAUGGCUGUCAACAGAGGGAUGCAAAGCCGCGAGGUGGAGCGAACCCCUAAAAGCAGUCUUAGUUCGGAUUGUAGGCUGCAACCCGCCUACAUGAAGUCGGAAUUGCUAGUAAUCGCAGAUCAGCAUGCUGCGGUGAAUACGUUCCCGGGCCUUGCACACACCGCCCGUCA
rnacentral:rRNA from 1 species